rnacentral:rRNA from 1 species
CGCACAGUAAACGAUGACAACUGGCUGUCGGCGAUAUACCGAUCGGUAGCGAAGCGAAAGCGUUAAGUUGUCCACCUGGGGAGUACGACCGCAAGGUUGAAACUCAAAGGAAUUGACGGGGGCCCGCACAAGCGGAGGAACAUGUGGUUUAAUUCGAUGAUACGCGAGGAACCUUACCCGGGCUUGAAUUGCAGAGGAACAUAGUUGAAAGAUUAUGGCCGCAAGGUCUCUGUGAAGGUGC